CACGUAGGGUGCGAGCGUUGUCCGGAAUUAUUGGGCGUAAAGAGCUCGUAGGCGGUGUGUCACGUCGUUCGUGAAAACCUGCAGCUUAACUGUGGGCGUGCGGUCGAUACGGGCAUCACUGGAGUUCGGCAGGGGAGAGUGGAAUUCCUGGUGUAGCGGUGAAAUGCGCAGAUAUCAGGAAGAACACCCGUGGCGAAGGCGGCUCUCUGGGACGGUACUGACGCUGAGACGCGAAAGCGUGGGGAGCGAACAGG
rnacentral:rRNA from 1 species